GCCAUGGUGGUCUAGCGGUUAGAACGCUGGGCUUGUAAUCCUGGGGUCUCGGGUUCGAUUCCCGGCGGUGGCC
rnacentral:tRNA from 1 species